rnacentral:lncRNA from 10 species
CGGGCCUUUGCCUCUGCAGGUCCUCCUGCAAGAAUGGCCUGGUCAGCCUCAGCUACCUGAUGGAGAGUCACUGAGGCCUUUUCUGGGCUCCCACAGCACUCAGUCUACCCACGCCUAGAUCCGGGAACAGGCCAGGGAGAGGAUCUGACCACUCUGCAUAUUCUAGACAUGUCAGCAUGCGAGAGGGCAGUUUCCUCUGCCUCCACCUGUCUGAAAGUCUACCUGAACGUAGCAACAGGCCCCCAAUUCCAGAGCACACCCCUAAUAACGACAGCUACCAUCUGCAAGGGUGCUCACCAAGUGACAGGCUCUCUAAGCACUUCUCUUGCAAUUUUUCCACUUGAUUCUGACAACAAGCCUGAGAUAAGCCCAGCUAUCAUCUCCAUUUCACAGAGGAAAUGGGGCUGACAGAGGUGAGUGGCAGGCAGCCUAAUCACACAGUCAGUAUGUGCCAGAGCCAGGGGCCAAUCCACCUCUGACUCCAGAUCGAACCUUUACUUGCUGUCCUCUAGGGCAGGAGUGGGCAAACCUUUUCUGCAAAGGGCCAGUCAUUUUGGGCCGGGCAGCCAUACGGCCUCUGCCUCUGUAGUGUAAAAGCAACCACAGCCAACAUGUGAAUGAAUGAACACGGCUGUGCUCCAAAGCACUUUACCUACGGACACUGAAACGUGGAUUUCAUGUAAUUUUCACGUCACAAAAUAGUCAUCUUCUGGUAUUUUUUCAACCAUUUAAAGAUGUAAAGAACAUUCUUGCGGCCCGGUGGCUCACGCCUGUAAUCCUAGCACUUUGGGAGGCCGAGGCAGGUGGAUCACCUGCGGUCGGGAAUUUGAGACCAGUCUGACCAACAUGGAGAAACCCCGUCUCUCCUAAAAAUACAAAACUAGCCGGGCGUGGUGGCGCAUGCCUGUAAUCCCAGCUACUUGGGAGGCUGAGGCAGGAGAAUUGCUUGAACCCGGAAGGCAGAGGUUGCAGUGAGCUGAGAUUGUGCUAUUGCACUCCAGCCUGGGCAACAAGAGUGAAACUCCGUUUCAAAAAAAAAAAAAAAAA